UUUUUCAAUAUCGCUGAUAUACCAAUUCAUUUUUUACAAAUUCUUAAAUAUUUUUGAUAGUAGAGUGAAAGAAGACAGCUCUUCCAUCGCUUUUAAACAUUUUUUAAUCAAUAUGCGUGUCCAAAUAGUAGUUGUAAUCUACUAGACCAAACCACAGAUGAUGAAGAUUUAACUCCAACUUUUGGAUUUUCACAUAUUUUAUAUUUUAAAUAAUACUUUUUAAUUUGUUUAAAACACUAGCAUUACAAAAGUUUAAUAUAGUUUUUAGUUUUAGUUUUUAAUUUUUUAUAAAACUUUCAAGAUUUUAUUUACAGUUUUUGUUUUAUUAAAGUUAUUUAGUUGUAUCAUUGCUUAUGAUAGUUUAAACAUGUAUAAAUAUUUUUGUUGUUUUUGUUUCUUAGUAUGCUUGUUAGGCAGGGCAACCAUAUUGUUGGGUGAAUUUUUUUUUAAUGUUUUGCUAAAGUUAAUAAGUUAAUAUUAUAGUAGAUUAUAGUAAAAAAAGUAAUUAUAUUAGGUGAUAUUUCUCUUUUACUGACUUAAAUUUAAAAUAUACAAAGUAAAGGCAUAAAGAUCAAAGAGUAAACAUUUAGUUAAUAAAUUGUUCAAAUUAAAAAGUAAUUUAUGCAAAAGCACGUUUCAAAAAGAUGUUUUCAGAUUUAGUGCUGUAUUAGUUAAAGAUUUCAUUAGCAUUGCAAUAUGGCGCUUAAAGUUUUGAUUUCUUUGUAUAAUCUGAAAUAGAUUAUAAUAGAUAUAAGUUAUAAAAUUUAUAGCUUUUAUAGGUUAUGAAAUUUAUAAUAGAUGUAGGUUAUAAUAAAUUAUACUGAAAUUUAUAGGUUAAGCUUAAAUUGUGAAAGUUUUAUUUAAACAUUAAUUCAAUCAAGUGAUUUAUUCAAAAGUGAUUUUCUAUAAAUCUGUUUAAGUUGAAUUUUAUAGUUUUUAUAGUUCAAUUUUAGUAUUAGACAGUUUUUUAAUAUAUAAAGUAAUGAAAACAUCUGCUAACGAUGGUAAGUGUUGAUUAAAUAAAGUAUUGUAGUUUAUAACUUUUUAGUUUAUGUUUAGUAGAAAUUUAUAUGCAUAUCUUUAUCAUUUGAUAGUUUAUUUUAAGUUAAAACUUUACUUUUUUUAGCAUCAGACCAGAGAUUUGCACUAAUAUUUGCAGAAUUAGCCGCUUUAAGAGCAGAAUUAAACAAAGAUAGGAACUCUAAAGAUGCAUCAAGCUUACCAACUGAUCAGGGUUCUUCAGUCAUAUCAACACCUCCGGCUCAGGAAGAAGUCAACAACCUCUCUAGUUCAACAAGUAAGUAAAUUGUUAACAAUUUCAAACACCAAUUAAUUACUAUUGAAAAUGGUUACAAAAAUUAAAUCCAUUUAUCAAGUUAUGGUAUUAAUCACCUAAGGUAGAACUGGGAGCCGCAAGGGUCGCGGACAAGGUGGCCGAGGAGGUGGCGGUAAAGGGUCUUUUGUACUAGGGCGUUUGUGUUUUCAGCUCUAGUUUUUAUUUUAUGUGCAGUUUUAUACUUAUUUAUGUUGAUGUUGUUGCUUUAUAAUUUUAUAUAUGUAUUUUUUAUUUGAAGUAAAAAAGAACAACAUUUCUUAUUUAA